UGAGUACGAGCUGCUACGGCAGCGAAGUGGGUGAUGUCAAGCUUCCAAGAAAAGCCCUAUACCCGUUAAGGCAUGACGGCCUGUACCCGAAACCGACACAGGUGGGGUGGUAGAGAAUACCGAGGGGCGCGAGAUAACUCUCUCUAAGGAACUCGGCAAAAUGGCCCCGUAACUUCGGGAUAAGGGGUGCCACCGCAAGGUGGUCGCAGUGAAGAGGCCCAGGCGACUGUUUACCAAAAACACAGGUCUCCGCUAAGUCGCAAGACGAUGUAUGGGGGCUGACGCCUGCCCAGUGCCGGAAGGUUAAGGAAGCUGGUCAGCGCAAGCGAAGCUAGCGACUGAAGCCCCGGUGAACGGCGGCCGUAACUAUAACGGUCCUAAGGUAGCGAAAUUCCUUGUCGGGUAAGUUCCGACCCGCACGAAAGGCGUAACGAUCUGGGCGCUGUCUCGGAGAGAGGCUCGGCGAAAUAGAAUUGUCUGUGAAGAUGCGGACUACGUGCACCCGGACAGAAAGACCCUAUGAAGCUUUACUGUAGCUUGGUAUUGUGCCCGGGCUCUGAAUGCGCAGGAUAGGUGGGAGGCUUUGAUCCAUUGCUUGCGGGUGAUGGUGAGCCAACGGUGAGAUACCACUCUUUCAGAGCUAGGGUUCUAACAGUCACCCGUUAUCCGGGGACUGGACAGUAUCAGGUGGGCAGUUUGACUGGGGCGGUCGCCUCCUAAAAGGUAACGGAGGCGUGCAAAGGUUCCCUCAGGCUGGUUGGAAAUCAGCCGACGAGUGUAAAGGCAGAAGGGAGCUUGACUGUGAGACCAACAAGUCGAACAGGGACGAGAGUCGGCCUUAGUGAUCCGACGGUUCUGAGUGGAAGGGCCGUCGCUCAACGGAUAAAAGUUACUCUAGGAUAACAGGCUGAUCUCCCCCAAGAGUUCACAUCGACGGGGAGGUUUGGCACCUCGAUGUCGGCUCAUCGCAACCUGGGGCUGAAGUCGGUCCCAAGGGUUGGGCUGUUCGCCCAUUAAAGCGGUACGCGAGCUGGGUUCAGAACGUCGUGAGACAGUUCGGUCCAUAUCCGGUGCAUGCGCAGGAACAUUGAGAGGAUUUCACCCUAGUACGAGAGGACCGGGAGGAACGCACCUCUGGUGUACCAGUUAUCGUGCCAACGGUAAACGCUGGGUAGCCAUGUGCGGAGCGGAUAACCGCUGAAAGCAUCUAAGUGGGAAGCCCACCUCAAGAUGAGUGUUCCCAUGGCAAAAGCCAGUAAGGUCACGGGAAGAACACCCGUUGAUAGGCUCUACGUGGAAGCGUGGUAACACGUGAAGCGGAGGAGUACUAAUAGACCGAGGGCUUGACC
rnacentral:rRNA from 1 species